AUGAUGAAGAGGAGGAUGGAUAUGCAGUUCAUCAUGACAUUGAACAUGACUCAAAUAGAUCCCCUGUUGAAGAAGAGGGCCAUGAAAAAGGCCUGAGGCCAAAGGAUAUACUUGCAGAUGAAGAUCAUAGGUAUGGGUCAGAAGAGGAAAAUUAUGAGAUGAAAACUAAAGAGAAACCACUUGGGCCACCAUUGGAGUUAGAGGUUCCGCUGCAACCACCUCCAGCUCUUCCAGAAAAGGUGCCAAAGUGAAAAGUAUGCAGUUUAAAAUGAUAGCUCAGGUUGUCAAAGUCGGAAACUGAAAAGGCGAGUUGAACAUAGCCGAUUAGCCGAUUCGGAUGUUAGUGGAAAAUGGUUGAAAUGGCAAAGUCUAAAUUGGAGUCCUUUAAAUUAGCAUUUAGGGAAGGAGAAACUGUUGAGAGCACAAAAUGCACUUGAACAAGGAAAAAUAUGACAACACAGUUAAAGAAUGCACAAAAGCAUUAGAUCUGAAUCCAGUGUACAUUAAAUCUUUAGUAAGAAGAGGAGAAGCUCAUGAAAAGCUUGAACAUUUUGAAGAAGCCAUUGCUGAGAUUGCUUCGUUUUCACCUGUGUUGUUGGAGCUCUUGGUGACUCUCUUUUUGGUUAUGUUCUUGGUGUUUUAGGUCUCUUUCUUUUUCUCACCCUUAUUUUCCUGUUUAAUAGUUCUGUUUUUAUUGAAUCAUCGUAUCUGAAUUGUAUCUUCUAAUUUCCUUUUUUUUGUCACGCAAGAGGCCACCUUCAAGUGUUUGUUUUUUUCGCCUCUUAUUUUGGAAUCGAUAUUUAUGUUGAUUUCUUUUGGCCAAGGCACGUUUAUUUCUCAUGAUAGUACAAAUGACUUCAAACUGUAUCAUUUUCUUUCUUUGCAAAAUAUAGUCGCCAAAUUAAUCGUCAAUGUUUCUUCAAGAAAUGGUUUUGGUAUUAUUUAGACAGAUAAUGAUAAUAAUACAACAACUUUAUCUUUUUGUUCCAAAUUGUAUAUACCUUUAAGGUGAAUCAUUUUGAUCCUGCUUAUGUAUGUGUAAAUUAUUUUUUGCUUGUUAUUUUUUUGUGUGUUUGUAAUAAACCCUCUUUUGAUUCAAUGCGGUCUAGGAGUUGGAAUGAGUUGGAAUGGCUCGGUCUCAUCAGAUUCUAGAGCUGAAAGAUGGAAAACAGCAAGGCAUUGUUGGAGAUUGAGGUGAAUUUCAUUAUUUCUCAGUUUUGUGUUUUACCCAAAAUUUUAUUCUGCUUAGAUGGGAGCAAAUUUUUUAUUCAGGAAUUCUGCAUCUCUCCGAGAGUUUUAUUUUAUUAUGUAGAUAAAUAAAAUCUCGUGAGAGUUUGAUGUUAUUGAUUUUUGGUAUGGUGUUGUUGGUUGACUCGUGUGCAGUUAGAUGAUGGAUCUUAUGAGUUUAGUUUUUUAGUGUUGUUUUAAAUCUUUUUGAGACGUUGGUUUUGUUGUUGGAUUUCUUUCUAUUGUGCUGGUUUUGGAGUUAAAACUUGCCCUUAUGAGAAGAGAAGUGUCCCUAUCCAGUAACAGCAACAGCAACUACUCCUCAAUGGGAAAGAGAUUAGGGAUUCUGACGAGUUAAGAGCGAUAGGCGUGAAAGAUGACGAUUUGUUUGUGAUGGUCCGCUCUGGUGUUGGCAGUGGCGGCGGUGGCGCUGCUAGCUGUCUUGUGGAUGAAGAACUCUCUAAGAAAGUUAAGGGUUCACAUCCUUUUGAAUCAGUAGUCUGGUUUUUGAGUUCUUCUUUCCAAUCUCUGGGUUCCAUGUUUCUGUAUAAUUGUACUAUAAACCCUGGAAAGGUUACGAAUAAUAGAGAAGAUGGAACCAUUGAGUCCUAUGCUUUUCACCUCUGGCUGCCAUAGUUCUGUGGUGCAACGCUCUCUUCAAUCUGAUUAUGGUGGCGAUGAGAGUUUGUUUGGAUUGAUUUUUGUCAUGGUUGUGUUAUUUAUUUUAAUUUCAUUUAUGAUACUAUAUUAGGUUUUAAUCUUAUAAUUAUUGAUGCAUUAUUUCUUCUUGGGUAUUGAACUGAAUAAAUAAUUAGUGUUACUGUUCUACUUUUUUUUUUCACUAUUUGCUUCGCACUGGAACUCUUUUAACUCUUAUUUUUUUAAUUCUUAGGUGUUUCAUUUUUAUGCAUUUAAUUUUAAAGAACUUUUGUCGUAAAAAGUGGGAAGUUGUAUAAAAUUCUAUUUGGUGCAAUUCCAGUGAUUUUUUUGUUAUUUAUCUUGUAUUUAUUUUGUGAAUGCAUAUUUUGUUGGCCUGUUUUUUGAAAUAAGAUUAGUAAGUUCUUAUUUUUUUUGUAUUACUCUACAGUUCUUGAAUUGUACUUGAGUUGUUCACAUAUUCAUUUUUCUGAAUUCUUACACAAAAAGAAAUUGAGAGUCAAAUUUAUCUUUGUGCCUUUGUUUUUUCCUUAGGUGUUGUUAGUAACUAGAUUUCAUUUGUAUAAUAAGCACUAUGGUUGUGAAUGUGAUAACCUACAUAGUCUUAUUUAUAUAUAAGUGUACACCACUUGAGUUUUAUUUAGGAGUUAUUUUGAAUUCUUUUUUAAUUGUUGCUCCCCCUUCUUCAAUUGUCAAACAGCUUUUAGCUUGGAAAAAUAAAAGUUUCUUGAUAAAGUUAAGUCAAAUAAUAAUAAUACUAUUAUUAUAUUUUAAUAAUUUACAUUUGACUCACAAGAACAUCUCUCAGAAUCAUAAAUUUCAAGCAAUUGGACUUGGUAUAUUUGGAAGGCUAUAUCAUCGUAUAACAAAAUGAAUGUUAUAUUUAUGUAUAUCAUGGAAGUGAUGUUCACUUUCCCAUAUCAGCAGCUUUUAUACUUCUUCCUUGUGUUACCCUACAUCUCUAAUCCUUAUUUCAGUGUUAAUGGUACUUUUUUUGUGGCAGGUUGGGCAUUUACUGAUUCUGUUCUACAUAGAUUGGUACCUCUUUGGGUGGGUACUAGAGGAUUAGAAUUUACUUGGGAUUACAUUCUACAGGGCCUAGAGGCUAAUACAAAUUUGGGUUGCAAGAUACAAACUACUAUUCGCAGGCCUAUGAUUCAUAGGUUCAAAGAACUUUUGUCCGAGGUCAAGUAUAUGUGUUGAAACUCUUCUUUAUUGUUCCAAAUCAAAGAUCUUAUAGGCCAAUAAGCAUCAUUUCAAAUCUUUGAUUCCAUAGUUUAGGUUAACUAUUACAUAUAAAUAGAAUUUUAUCUCUGUAGUUACAUUAUUGCUUAAUAAUAGGGUUUUUUUAUAUUUUAAUUUUGUGAUUCCGAAUAACUAUUUGUAUGGAUGAUAAGCCACAUGUAUAAUUGUAUUUAC